GCCUUGACGUUUGCCGCCUCGUCGAGAACACGCGUCGAGAGGGUGGACUCCCUGUCCCGUCGGCUAAUCAGCUUCCCCCCACACCCCCUCGCCGAUCGACGCCUCGGCCUUUUCAACGCGUCGUUGGACAAAUAGGGUACUAGCUUCCUCGGCCAAACGAAAGAACGAAUUUAGCGAAAGGACCGUCCACGGCUACGCCGGGUGAAUAGGAAACGAGGAGAACAGGAAAGGAGAAUGAGCGGAGCCAAAUCUAUUUAAUUAAAAUUAUGGCGAUACGACGUGGCCGAAGAAUCUCAAUUAAUCUCCGAAAAAAAAAAAAAAAAAAAAAAAAAAGAAAA